rnacentral:ncRNA from 1 species
AUCCCUGUGAGAAUGCCCUACAUAUUCCCCUUUCACGGAAAAAAGGAGCAGGUAUUAGGCACGACCCUACGUUCAGCCCAAAACGCCUUGCUUAGCCACACCCUCAAGGGAACUCAGCAGUAAUAGACAUUAAGCUAUGAGUGAAAACUUGACUUAGUUAGAACCAAAAGGGCCGGUUAAACUCGUGCCAGCCACCGCGGUUAUACGAGAGGCCCGAGUUGACAAAUGCCGGCGUAAAAUGUGGUUAUUACAGUAUUGCACUAAAGCCAAACAUCUUCAAAGCUGUUAUAUGCUCUCGAAGACAGGAAGCUCAUUCACGAAAGUGGCUUUAAACCUUAUGCCCCACGAAAGCUAGGGAACAAACUGGGAUUAGAUACCCCACUAUGCCUAGCCCUAAACAAAGGUGAACACGUCACACCUAUCGCUUGCCCGGGAACUACGAGCCCCAGCUUAAAACCCAAAGGACUUGGCGGUGCUUUAGACCCCCCUAGAGGAGCCUGUUCUAGAACCGAUAAUCCCCGUUAAACCUCACCCUCUCUUGUUUUUCCCGCCUAUAUACCGCCGUCGUCAGCUCACCCUAUGAAGGACAGAAAGUGAGCACAAUUGGUAAUACCUAAAACGCCAGGUCGAGGUGUAGCGUACGAGAGGGGAAGAAAUGGGCUACAUUCACUGAACCAGUGUACUACGGACGAUAGAUUGAAAAUUCCAUCCAAAGGAGGAUUUAGCAGUAAGGGGCAAAAUAGAGUGUUCCCCUGAAACUGGCCCUGAAGCGCGCACACACCGCCCGUCACUCUCCCCAAAACCAAAACAAAUAAUAAAUAAAACAAGCACAAAACAAAGGGGAGGCAAGUCGUAACAUGGUAAGUGUACCGGAAGGUGCACUUGGACAAAC